UGCUGAGGCUCCAUUCGUUCUCAAGCUCGUGCGCUAUUUCGUUUUGUCUAAAUUACACGUGAGCCCUUCCACCAAACCCGUUCUUGUCUAUUCUCGGCUUCCGGACUCCGACGGCGACGGCCGGACCACCCUAGAUUUGGGUCACGCCGCAGGGCUCCGCCAAAUCCAAGAGCCCGUGUGUUUUUUCGAGGAAAAAAACACAAGUGUACUGUCGAAGAGGAUUAAGAAGACUUCUCCUCUGGCGAGGGCAAUGCAGCCGUGUAUGCAUAGGCACACUCUUGCAUAGUACACGAAGGACCCGGUGAUGUCAACCAGGCCGGCAAAAAGCGCAAGUUGCACAAUGGAUUACCUCUCAUGGGAAAGCGACUAUAAUUUCUGACAUGAUUCUUUUCUACUCCUAGCUACUCUGUAUUUCAUUUCGCAUUGUGACACCACGCCAUCAACUAGUGUCUUCACAUUCAGAAGGCAAUUAAAUGUCCCCACGAAAGAAAACCCUGGAUCGUGACGUGCACAGAAAAAGGCAACCACUGAAACCGACGUGCACCAAUGGGUGCUCGGCAGGGAGGCCAUCUGGAAUGAUGUGCAGCUGACAAGUUUUGGCUGGACAAGGAGUUGCUGCCAAAUAAUUGGAGGGUGUUCAAGGAAUUUCGUGAAGACUUGAGAGAGGCAAGCAGAAUUGGGCACGUGCAUGGAGCCCUUCCUGUUUAUCGACUAUCAACGUUCAGCCCGCUGUCAUAUUUUAAUCUGUAGCGUCAGCAGAUGUUUCAAAUGAUACUCUAAUGAGUGUAGUGUGAUUACUAAUGUACACCCUGGGUCCAAAAUUAAUUCGGGA